rnacentral:lncRNA from 1 species
ACACUUCUCUCGCAACUUAAGAUGGCUUGGGGCAAAACUUAAAUUUCAGGACAGAGGGAGUACUUCCAAGAGAUUAAUUCAAACUCAAAUUAGAUGGGUGGCAUCACAAAUACAGAUUAAAUACACACAUGCUGUUACUUAUUUGAAACAGUAUCUGUAUAACAAGUUACUGUGUUCUAUUUACUUAAGGUUCACAGCUGCUAAUGCACUAAGCUUUGCUUCAGUCUGGAUUCCAAAACUCAUCGUUGUUUGGUUGGGCUGAAUAACAUUUUCAAGGUAAAUAGUUUCAUGGUCAAUAAGAUGAUUUUUGCCCAAAGAACAUUGUUGGCUAGUUAAAAUUGUGUAUUCAGGGUUUUCUAUGAUCUAUUGAUUGGUAAACGUCCUAAGAAUUGUUCCUGUAGCACUACAUACACAGCCAUGGCAAAAGAGUGAUUUCAUUAUCUUUUCCCCAGAGUUAUAACACAUGAAAACUGAGGAAGCCAAUUGUGGCAUCCUCUCUUCAAGGAUUCUGUCCCUCAAGCAGAUAGUUUGUUUAUUCUAGUAAUGACACAAAAAAAUGAAUGCAAACGUAUACGAGUAUAAGAAAACAAUUGAGUUAUAGCAAAUUUACAUUCAGUAG